UCCGAGUUGACCCCGGCAGUCUCCUGCGAGUCCCCGCCAUUACGCGCUGGCAACACAAUCCAAGGGUUGCGCUCGUUGCGGGACUUAACCCAACAUCUCACGACACGAGCUGACGACAACCAUGCACCACCUGUCACCGCUGCCCCGAAGGGAGAGCCUAUCUCGAGGCUGGUCAGCAGGAUGUCAAGUCCUGGUGAGGUUCUUCGCGUUGCUUCGAAUUAAACCACAUGCUCCACUGCUUGUGCGGGCCCCCGUCAAUUCCUUUGAGUUUCAGUCUUGCGACCGUACUCCCCAGGCGGAGUGCUUAAUGCGUUAGCUUCGGCACUGAGGGUGGUACCCCCCAACACCUAGCACUCAUCGUUUACGGCGUGGACUAC
rnacentral:misc_RNA from 1 species